rnacentral:rRNA from 1 species
GAAAUUCCUUGUCGGGUAAGUUCCGACCUGCACGAAUGGCGUAAUGAUGGCCAGGCUGUCUCCACCCGAGACUCAGUGAAAUUGAACUCGCUGUGAAGAUGCAGUGUACCCGCGGCAAGACGGAAAGACCCCGUGAACCUUUACUAUAGCUUGACACUGAACAUUGAGCCUUGAUGUGUAGGAUAGGUGGGAGGCUUUGAAGUGUGGACGCCAGUCUGCAUGGAGCCGACCUUGAAAUACCACCCUUUAAUGUUUGAUGUUCUAACGUUGACCCGUAAUCCGGGUUGCGGACAGUGUCUGGUGGGUAGUUUGACUGGGGCGGUCUCCUCCUAAAGAGUAACGGAGGAGCACGAAGGUUGGCUAAUCCUGGUCGGACAUCAGGAGGUUAGUGCAAUGGCAUAAGCCAGCUUGACUGCGAGCGUGACGGCGCGAGCAGGUGCGAAAGCAGGUCAUAGUGAUCCGGUGGUUCUGAAUGGAAGGGCCAUCGCUCAACGGAUAAAAGGUACUCCGGGGAUAACAGGCUGAUACCGCCCAAGAGUUCAUAUCGACGGCGGUGUUUGGCACCUCGAUGUCGGCUCAUCACAUCCUGGGGCUGAAGUAGGUCCCAAGGGUAUGGCUGUUCGCCAUUUAAAGUGGUACGCGAGCUGGGUUUAGAACGUCGUGAGACAGUUCGGUCCCUAUCUGCCGUGGGCGCUGGAGAACUGAGGGGGGCUGCUCCUAGUACGAGAGGACCGGAGUGGACGCAUCACUGGUGUUCGGGUUGUCAUGCCAAUGGCACUGCCCGGUAGCUAAAUGCGGAAGAGAUAAGUGCUGAAAGCAUCUAAGCACGAAACUUGCCCCGAGAUGAGUUCUCCCUGACCCUUUAAGGGUCCUGAAGGAACGUUGAAGACGACGACGUUGAUAGGCCGGGUG